UACGAAGGUGGCAAGCGUUGUUCGGAUUUACUGGGCGUACAGGGAGCGUAGGCGGUUGGAUAAGCCCUCCGUGAAAUCUCCAGGCUUAACCUGGAAAGUGCAGAGGGGACUGUUCAGCUAGAGGAUGGGAGAGGAGCGCGGAAUUCCCGGUGUAGCGGUGAAAUGCGUAGAGAUCGGGAGGAAGGCCGGUGGCGAAGGCGGCGCUCUGGAACAUUUCUGACGCUGAGGCUCGAAAGCGUGGGGGGCAAACAGG
rnacentral:rRNA from 1 species